GGUUCGAUUCUGGCUCAGAUUGAACGCUGUCGGGAUGCUUUACAUGCAAGUCGAACGGCAGCACGGACUUCGGUCUGGUGGCGAGUGGCGAACGGGUGAGUAAUGUAUCGGAACGUGCCUAGUAGCGGGGAUAACUUCGCAGCUAAUACCGCAUACGCCCUUCAGGGAAAGCCCAGGGGACCUUCGGGCCUCGCACUAUUAGAGCCGGCCGAUAUCGGAUUAGCUGGUUGGUGGGGUAACGGCUCACCAGGCGACGAUCCGUAGCUGGUUUUGAGAGGACGACCAGCCACACUGGGACUGAGACACGGCCCAGACUCCUACGGGAGGUAGCAGUGGGGAAUUUUGGACAAUGGGAAACCUGAUCAGCCAUCCCGCGUGUGCGAUGAAGGCCUUCGGAGUUUGUAAAGCACUUUUGGCAGGAAAAACAGCCUGGGAUAAUACCCCGUGCAACUGACUGUACCUGCAGAAUAAGCACCGGCUAACUACGUGCCAGCAGCGCGGUAAUGCGGCAGGGUGCCAAGCGUUAAUCGGAAUACUGGGCGUAAAGCGUGCGCAGGCGGUUCGGAAAGAAGAUGUAGAAAUCCCAGAGCUUAACUUUGGAACUGCAUUUUUAACUACCGAGCUGAAAAAUUGUGUCAGAGGAGGUGGAAUUCCGCGUGUGGCAGUGAAAUGCGUAGAUAUGCGGAGGAACACCGAUGGCGAAGGCAGCCUCCUGGGAUAACACUGACGCUCAUGCGAAAGCAUUAAGGGCGAAGCAGGAUUAGAUACCCUGGUAGUCCACGCCCUAAACGAUGUCCAAUAGCUGUUGCGGGGCCUUCGGGCCUUGGUAGCGCAGCUAACGCGUGAAGUUGACCGCCUGGGGAGUACGGUCGCCAAGAUUAAAACUCAAAGGAAUUGACGGGGACCCGCACAAGCGGUGGAUGAUGUGGAUUAAUUCGAUGCAACUGAAAAACCUUACCUACCCUUGACAUGUCCCGGAAUCCCGAAGAGAUUUGGGAGUGCUCGCAAGAGAACCGGAACACAGGUGCUGCAUGGCUGUCGUCAGCUCGUGUCGUGAGAUGUUGGGUUAAGUCCCGCAACAGGCGCAACCCUUGUCAUUAGUUGCUACGAAAGGGCACUCUAAUGAGACUGCCGGUGACAAACCGGAGGAAGGUGGGGAUGACGUCAAGUCCUCAUAUUCAUAUGGGUAGGGCUUCACACGUCAUACAAUGGUCGGGACGGGGUCGCCAACCCGCGAGAAGGAGCCAAUCCCAGAAACCCGAUCGUAGUCCGGAUCGCAGUCUGCAACUCGUGCGUGAAGUCAGAAUCGCUAGUAAUCGCGGAUCAGCAUGUCGCGGUGAAUACGUUCGGGUGUACACACCGCCCGUCACCACAUGGGAGUGGGUUUUACCAGAAGUAGUUAGCCUAACCAUGAGGAGGCGAUUACCACGGUAGGAUUCAUGACUGGGGGUGAAGUCGUAACAAGGUAA
rnacentral:rRNA from 1 species